rnacentral:rRNA from 1 species
AUUGAACGCUGGCGGCAGGCCUAACACAUGCAAGUCGAGCGGCAGCGGGAAAGUAGCUUGCUACUUUUGCCGGCGAGCGGCGGACGGGUGAGUAAUGCCUGGGAAAUUGCCCAGUCGAGGGGGAUAACAGUUGGAAACGACUGCUAAUACCGCAUACACCCUACGGGGGAAAGCAGGGGACCUUCGGGCCUUGCGCGGUUGGAUAUGCCCAGGUGGGAUUAGCUAGUUGGUGAGGUAAUGGCUCACCAAGGCGACGAUCCCUAGCUGGUCUGAGAGGAUGAUCAGCCACACUGGAACUGAGACACGGUCCAGACUCCUACGGGAGGCAGCAGUGGGGAAUAUUGCACAAUGGGGGAAACCCUGUUGCAGCCAUGCCGCGUGUGUGAAGAAGGCCUUCGGGUUGUAAAGCACUUUCAGCGAGGAGGAAAGGUUGAUGCCUAAUACGUAUCAACUGUGACGUUACUCGCAGAAGAAGCACCGGCUAACUCCGUGCCAGCCGCCGCUGUAACAC